rnacentral:tRNA from 1 species
GACCGCGUAGCUCAGUUGGCAGAGCAUUGGGCUAGUAUUCCAAAGGUCGUAGGUUCGAUUCCCACCGUUGCCA